AUUUUUUUUUAAAUUAUUAAUUCCAGAAGCCGAUUCUGCUGCAAGGCCACGAGCGUUCCAUCACGCAGAUCAAAUAUAACCGCGAGGGAGAUCUGYUGUUCACCGUGGCCAAAGAUCCCAUCGUCAACGUGUGGUAUUCGGUGAACGGGGAGAGGUUGGGAACUUACAAUGGGCACACGGGAGCUGUGUGGUGCGUGGAUGCCGAUUGGGACACGAGGCACGUCCUGACGGGCUCUGCAGAUAACAGCUGUCGGCUCUGGGACUGUGAGACGGGUGAGACCCCCCCCAAAUCC